rnacentral:rRNA from 1 species
AGAUACCCUAUUAUACUGAUAGAUAAAUAGAAAUACCAGAUUAUUAAUAGAUAUGUUCUUGAAAUUUAAAGAAUUUGGCGGUGAUUUAGUCUAAUUAGAGGAACCUGUUUUUAAAUCGAUAAACCACGUAAGAUCUUGCUUAUCUUAUAAGUUAAGUUUGUAUACCGUCAUUAGCAGAUAAUUUUUAAAGAAGAAAUUAUUAAGGACAAAAUAUAGUUUUAAUUGAUUAAAUUAGAUCAAGGUGCAGCUCAUAGGUAAGUUAAAAUGGGUUACAAUAAAUUUUAUUUAUUAUGGAUAUUUAAUGGAAGGCAUUAAUUGGAAGGAGGAUUUGAUUGUAAUAUAAGUUUAAUAUGCUUAGGAGACAUAAGCUCUAAAUCAUGUACAUAUCGCCCGUCACUCUCAAAA